UACAGAGGGUGCGAGCGUUUAAUCGGAAUUACUGGGCGUAAAGGGCGCGUAGGCGGUUAUUUAAGUUGGAUGUGAAAUCCCUGGGCUUAACCUAGGAACUGCAUACAAUGCUGGAUAACUGGAGUGCAGUAGAGGGUAGUGGAAUUUCCGGUGUAGCGGUGAAAUGCGUAGAUAUCGGAAGGAACACCAGUGGCGAAGGCGGCUACCUGGACUGACACUGACGCUGAGGCGCGAGAGCGUGGGGAGCAAACAGG
rnacentral:rRNA from 1 species